rnacentral:ribozyme from 1 species
GAGGUGGAAGAGGGAAGGAAAAAUAAAAUAUAUAAAAAAAAGUGAAAUGAGUGGUGUCUCACCUUCCCGCACUCACUGUGUGUGUGUGUGUGUGUGUCUUUUUUUAUUUUUUUUUUGUGUGUGUGUUUCACCUCUUCAAUACACAGCAUUGAAAAGGAAAGGAGAAAAUGAGAAACAGCAGCUGUGAUACACGUACUAUAAAAACUAAUGUCUACGUGUGUCAAUGUCG